UGUGGGUUUUAAAAAGUUCUCUU
rnacentral:siRNA from 1 species